UACGUAGGGGGCAAGCGUUGUCCGGAAUCAUUGGGCGUAAAGAGCGUGUAGGCGGUUCGGUAAGUCGGCUGUGAAAGUCCAGGGCUCAACCCUGGAAAGCCGGUGGAUACUGUCGGGCUAGAGUCCGGAAGAGGCGAGUGGAAUUCCUGGUGUAGCGGUGGAAUGCGCAGAUAUCAGGAGGAACACCGAUGGCGAAGGCAGCUCGCUGGGACGGUACUGACGCUGAGGCGCGAAAGCGUGGGGAGCGAACAGG
rnacentral:rRNA from 1 species